GUGCUCACUUCAACAACACAUAUACUAAAAUUGGAAUGAUACAGAGAUUAGCCUGGCUCCUAUGCAAGGAUGACAUGCAAAUUGUGAAGUGUUCCCUAAGCAU
ensembl:snRNA U6 U6 spliceosomal RNA